GCUGGAUAGCUCAAUUGGUUAGAGCGUGGUGCUGAUCAUGCCAAGGUCGCAGGUUCGAUCCCCAUAACUGGCAGCU